rnacentral:rRNA from 1 species
AGAGUUUGAUCAUGGCUCAGGACGAACGCUGGCGGCGUGCUUAACACAUGCAAGUCGAGCGGUAAGGCCCUUCGGGGUACACGAGCGGCGAACGGGUGAGUAACACGUGGGUGACCUGCCCUCUACUCUGGGAUAAGCCUGGGAAACUGGGUCUAAUACCGGAUAUGACUACAUGUCGCAUGGUGUGUGGUGGAAAGCCAGUUACUGUGGUUUCUGGUGGUGGGGGAUGGGCCCGCGGCCUAUCAGCUUGUUGGUGGGGUGAUGGCCUACCAAGGCGACGACGGGUAGCCGGCCUGAGAGGGCGACCGGCCACACUGGGACUGAGACACGGCCCAGACUCCUACGGGAGGCAGCAGUGGGGAAUAUUGCGCAAUGGGCGGAAGCCUGACGCAGCGACGCCGCGUGGGGGAUGACGGCCUUCGGGUUGUAAACCUCUUUCGGCCCCGACGAAGCGUUUUGUGACGGUAGGGGUAGAAGAAGCACCGGCCAACUACGUGCCAGCAGCCGCGGUA